GCGGGUGGCUGUGGGGACUGCAGGGUGGCCGUGGGGCAGCCGUGGGGCAGCCGUGGGGCGGCGGCGGGGCCCUCCUGCGCGGCCGCGGCCCCAGCCCCAGCGCUCCGCCCACCUCCUGUUUAAUAUUUCCUUUAUUGCACUUCAAGAUUAGACAAAAAAUAAACCCUCUGCGGCAGCGGCGCCCUGACCCCAAAGUGCAAAGUUUCACCCACCCCAACCCCCCCCCAGUGCUGAUAUGUGUCCAAGGGUGCCACUGUCCCCAGGGUGCCAUCAUCAUCGGGGUGCCAUCGUCAUCAGGGUGCCGUCGUCCCCAGGCCACCAUCAUCCCUGGGAGGCCAUCACCAUUGGAGGCGCCAUCAUCAUCGGGGUGCUAUUGCCACCAGGGUGCCAUCGCCCCCGGGGUGUCCCCAAGGCCGUGGGUCAUCCCCGAGGCCGCAGGGCACCAUCGUCAUCAGGAUGCCAUUGUCCCCAGGGUGCCAUCAUCAUGGGGGUGCCAUCACCCCUGGGGAGCCAUUGCCAUCUGGUGGUGCCAUCUGGUGGCACUAUCGUCCCCAGGGUGUCCCCGAGGUGCCAUUGUUGGACUGCCAUCAUCCCCAGGAUGCCAUCGUCAUUGAGGUGCCAUCGUCACCAGGGCAUCCCCAAGGUCACAGGCCACCGUCGUCCCCAGAGUGCCAUCAUCAUUGGGGCAUCCCCAAGGCCACAGGGCGCCCCCGUCCCUGGGGUGCUCCUGUCCCCAACAUGUCCCCAAGGCCAUGGGGUACCCCUGUCCCUGGGGCAUCUCCAAGGCCAUGGGGCAUCCUCAUCCCUGGGGCAUCCCCGAGGCCAUGGGGUGCCCCCGUCCCCAGGGCGUCCUUGUCCCCGGGGCGUCUCCAUCCCAGAAGCAUCUCCAAGGCCAUGGGGCGUCCUCAUUCCUGGGGCGUUCCUGAGGCCAUGGGGUGUCCUCGUCCCUGGAGCAUCUCCAAGGCCAUGGGAUGUCCCCAUCCUUGGAGCACCUCCAAGGCCGUGGGGUGUCCUCAUCCCUGGGGUGUCCUCGCAGCCAUGGGGUGUCCCCAUCCCUGGUGCAUCUCCAAGGCCAUGGGGUGUCCUCGUCCCUGGGGUGUCCCCAAGGCCAUGGGUUGUCCCCAUCCAUGGAGCAUCUCCAAGGCCAUGGGGCAUCCUUGCCCCUGGGGUGUCUCCAGGGCGGUGGGGCGUCCCCGUCCCCGGGGGGGUGGCAGCUCGCGGGGGCUCAGGGCUCGAUGGGGAAGGCGAGGAGCUUCUCGGCGUGCUGGCUGUUGAGGCUGCGCAGGUCGGGCAGGCGCAGCAGCAGGCGGGCGAAGAGCCCGGCGUCCUCGGGGCNNNNNNNNNNNNNNNNNNNNNNNNNNNNNNNNNNNNNNNNNNNNN
rnacentral:lncRNA from 1 species